GAUGAACGCUGGCGGCGUGCCUAAUACAUGCAAGUCGAGCGAAUGGAUUAAGAGCUUGCUCUUAUGAAGUUAGCGGCGGACGGGUGAGUAACACGUGGGUACCUGCCCAUAAGACUGGGAUAACUCCGGGAAGCCGGGGCUAAUACCGGAUAACAUUUUGAACCGCAUGGUUCGAAAUUGAAAGGCGGCUUCGGCUGUCACUUAUGGAUGGACCCGCGUCGCAUUAGCUAGUUGGUGAGGUAACGGCUCACCAAGGCAACGAUGCGUAGCCGACCUGAGAGGGUGAUCGGCCACACUGGGACUGAGACACGGCCCAGACUCCUACGGGAGGCAGCAGUAGGGAAUCUUCCGCAAUGGACGAAAGUCUGACGGAGCAACGCCGCGUGAGUGAUGAAGGCUUUCGGGUCGUAAAACUCUGUUGUUAGGGAAGAACAAGUGCUAGUUGAAUAAGCUGGCACCUUGACGGUACCUAACCAGAAAGCCACGGCUAACUACGUGCCAGCAGCCGCAGUAA
rnacentral:rRNA from 1 species